rnacentral:sRNA from 1 species
AAGAUUGUCAAUUUUGUCAAUGUGAACAGAUUUGUUUAAUAUAGAAAAAUGCAAUCCACUUAUAUAUUAUACAAAUAUUAUACAAUAAUCUUGUUACGUCACACAUUAUUGGUUGGCUGGAUUUCCGGGGAAAGUUGUUGGUAAUUACAUACUAGUUUUUUUUUUUAUAAAUGGUAUGUUUAUGCUCAUGUUGAAAUUAUUUUGUGCAACUGGGGAAUAAGUUUACGCACUCGUCGUUUAUAAGAUGAAUCAUUAACGAUGUUUGAUCUUCAUCAAGAAACCUUUAUAAUUCAAUCCCACAAUAAAGAUUAUCCAAGAGUU